UCAUGGAAGGUGUUUUUGUGGGGUGGCAGUUGACUUAGGAAGGUCACAGGGAAGAGGAAAGAGUGGUUGCUAAUGUCUAAUUUAGAUUUUGGUCUUUUUAGAGAGAGGAGGUGUAUGGACUGAUUCAGAUUUCUUCUGAAGGCAAGCAGUGACGAGGAAGUCAGAAGUUAAGAUAGUGAUAUUCCCAGAUAUUCCUCAAACCAGGGUUCAGAGUCUCCUCCUGGUGGGGUCAUGGAUUUAUACCUAUCUGAUGGUUUUGGAUGUGACCAGCAGCUGCAGAUCUCAAGAAGAUAUGUGGUGCAUCUUUUGCAAAGAUCAGUUCCCAAACAUAAGGUUCUGUUUUCCUCUGGCUUCUUCAUUUAUGUUAGACCUGGAACACAAUAUAUCUUUGCAGUUAAUAGAGGAUACAUGAUCCAAGAAAGUUAAAGUAACCCUGGAUUCUGGCAUUCAAGAAACAAAGGCCACCCUUCUACAUGUCCUUCACCUCAAGGGCCUUGAACCUAGAGAUCCUGUAGCAGAAGACCUACCCAAAUCAU